rnacentral:rRNA from 1 species
UCCUAAGCUGAGGCCGACAGGCGUAGGCGAUGGAUAACAGGUUGAUAUUCCUGUACCACCUAUAAUCGUUUUAAUCGAUGGGGGGACGCAGUAGGAUAGGCGAAGCGUGCGAUUGGAUUGCACGUCUAAGCAGUAAGGCUGAGUAUUAGGCAAAUCCGGUACUCGUUAAGGCUGAGCUGUGAUGGGGAGAAGACAUUGUGUCUUCGAGUCGUUGAUUUCACACUGCCGAGAAAAGCCUCUAGAUAGAAAAUAGGUGCCCGUACCGCAAACCGACACAGGUAGUCAAGAUGAGAAUUCUAAGGUGAGCGAGCGAACUCUCGUUAAGGAACUCGGCAAAAUGACCCCGUAACUUCGGGAGAAGGGGUGCUCUUUAGGGUUAACGCCCAGAAGAGCCGCAGUGAAUAGGCCCAAGCGACUGUUUAUCAAAAACACAGGUCUCUGCUAAACCGUAAGGUGAUGUAUAGGGGCUGACGCCUGCCCGGUGCUGGAAGGUUAAGAGGAGUGGUUAGCUUCUGCGAAGCUACGAAUCGAAGCCCCAGUAAACGGCGGCCGUAACUAUAACGGUCCUAAGGUAGCGAAAUUCCUUGUCGGGUAAGUUCCGACCCGCACGAAAGGCGUAACGAUUUGGGCACUGUCUCAACGAGAGACUCGGUGAAAUCAUAGUACCUGUGAAGAUGCAGGUUACCCGCGACAGGACGGAAAGACCCCGUGGAGCUUUACUGUAGCCUGAUAUUGAAAUUCGGCACAGCUUGUACAGGAUAGGUAGGAGCCUUU